ensembl:lncRNA
UUUUUUUUUUUUUUAAAGAUCACUUGACACUUAACGGCUACGUCACAUCAGCAUUGUAUGGUCAAUACAAUGUGCUUCCCCCCAGAUUUCCUAAAGACCUUUUCUUUCUUAUUCACGCCGAUCCUGCUACUUUAGCCUUUCCUAGUAUCCCAACCAUAAACCCCACCCACACCUGUUAUAGAGUACACCGUGAGAGAACAAUGUUGACUUGAUAUGGCAUCGCACUCUUAAAGCAAAUUUAACAAAAAGAAAGAAAAAAAAAAUCCAAGACAAGAGAUCAUAACUGAUAGAUCUGAGGUACACGGCAGAAGGAUAAUGAACAACGACAUGGAGAUAAUUCGAUGGCCCGGUGACUUGCUGGGGACAUACAAGAUGAUCAGCAAAAGAAUGACAGCCAAUGAAAAUUAAGAGACAUUUUAAUGUUUUUUUUUCUUUUUCUUUUUUUUUUGUCAAAGAUAGGCACCUGUUGAAAUUGAGUGGCUACUGUAAGUCAGUAAGGCACUUUUCCCCCACAAGAGGGUUGCAGGCAAAGGAACGUUACUGCAGCUCCAUCAAGUGUGUGUGUGUGUGUGUGUGUGUGUGUGUGUGUGUGUUGAUGGCUUCUUAAAAACCAGAGCCAAGAACGGGUCUCAUAGCCCUGACAUGGUUAAAAGCAGAGUAGCACUCGUUCUGCCUCAAGGACUCCUUUGUGCCGUCAGGAAUCCAGAAUCAUCAAAAGCCACGCGGUAUAAGGAAGUUUAGCGCCUCCUGGGGCUUCCUACCCUAUUCCGUACAGACAGAUAAGCACGCUGCAGCUGUUCACAACCACUCGGAGUCUGCACUGAGAAAGCCUGUGUGCAGUGUGUACCUAUGGAGGGCUUGUCGGCUUAAGGGGACUUCACUGUCUCAGUAUUAAUUUCCCUUUUAAAGCUAUUCCCAAAGUUGGGCUGUCUAAGGUAAGCAAGGGGGUAUCCUUUGGGCUUAGAAGUCAGCUGGCUUACUUAGACUUCUGAUUGCUACCAACACCAUCAGUUUACUGUCCAGGACAUAAGGUACAAGUGUGGUCCUCCCUGCCUUGUCCCCAUACCCCACGGAGACGAAGCUCCCCUGCCCUCUAUGUGUAAACCACCCCAUCUUAGCCUGUUGGUCCUAUAGCUCUCAAGGCACAGUCUGGUAGGUCCCCAAAGAGCUAGACAAUAGGAAAGCUAUUAAGCUUCCUCUGAAGGGUCACUUAUCCUGGGAUCGGGGGUGCUACAUGUACCCCUCCAACCUGGCUGCUAGAGAGGAGACUGUCUUGGUAGGCAUGCACCUUAAAGCUAGCUGCCUGCAAGACAUGCCCUGCUUUCCCAUGGUGUCCUGGAGACAGUUCCAAAGAAAGCAGCCUCUACAAGCUGUCCCAGCUCACCAUUCGCAGGUUGCCUGGCUCUUAGGAACCAUCACGAAUCUCCUUAUGCUUAGCAGAUUAUUUUUGGCAUGCUAGGGUUUCUUUCCCCUAGGAUUUGGUCAAAACAGGGGAGGAUCAAAAUUUGGCAGGCUGGGGGAACAACUUAGCCCCCCACUGAUGGAGGGGAAAAAAAAAACCAAAACAACAAACAACAAUGACAAAUUAAAAACAAGAGAUCAUUAACAAGGCAGAAAAAGACCAGAAUCUGCAACCCCUUCUAUAGGAUGUGGAGGUUGGGGAGAGCAAACUGAAAUCCACGGGGCCAUUUAUGCCCCUCUGGAACAGAAAUACUACCAAGGAGACCCAGAUCUAAGCAGAAGGUAUUGGUCACCAAGGGAUCCCUUCCUCUGUGUAAGUGAGGAGCAGGCAGAAUGACCACUCUAUAGGACUAGUCUCAUUAGGCUCUGAGGAUGGCAAACAGGAAGUGUCUCAGGUUCUAGGUAAGAGGGGUGGAGGGGCAGAUAGAAACCUGCUUCUCCCCUUGUGGGUCCGCUUCCUCCAUUCAAUGUUCCUGUUGAACUCAAAACUCACUCAUCAGGCACUCAAGGGAGUGUGCCUGUCAAGUUCCGUGGGGUUCCUUAAGGACCAGACGUGUGCUGUGCAACGCAAGCUCCGGAUAAGCACUGGCUAGUAGCAGGCUGCUCCCUUUUCCGCUCUCAAACUUUCCAAACUAUCACCCACUGUCCCAACACAAAGCCCCUAGAAUUUUAGGGUCAUGCUAAUUCACCAAGUCCUGAUCCUUCCUAAAUCGAUGUGAGACCACAGAAACAGCCUCUCCCUUCUUUCAACUUGCAUUCCAGACUCAUUCAACCUGUGCCUCCUACCUUGCCUACUCAAUGGGAUCCAAAACCUGAAGCCAAUCAACACCACACACAGACACCCUGGCCAAGCACAGCACUUGCUGGCCACCAUAGACUGUAGAGGACAAGAGAAGGAGAAACGAAUACCAUCCAUGUGCACCACAGACUCAGUCCUAGGAAGACUUCGGAGACCAUCCGAAGUUGGGGUGUCAAUGCCAAGGAGAGGGAAACUGGCCAAUGUUCAUGAUGAAGGGACCCCACCAAGAGGAAAGUCCUGUUUCUGAAUGUGCUAUGAGAUAGGGGAAGGUCUCCCAGCUGUUUGCCAGAAUUCUUCAUUGCUGACCCUCGUGCAUGCAUGCAAAUCAAGCUGACCUAGCCCACUGCCUGUGCUUGCUGAGUAUCCGGCAUUGGGUAGAGGAGCCCUUCAGCAUUGUCUUUUAUCAUAAGGAGGGAGCCUGAGUCAAACAGGAGCCUGGUGACCUUUGAGACAGAAAGAAAAGACUCCUGGCCUGAGACCCUUGGGUCAAAUCUCUCCUGCCUUCUACCUAGAAGGACGCAGAGCUCCCACUUUCUGCCUGUCCUGUGCCUCAUGCCAGCGGCCUUCCAAACAGAAACUGUAUGGCUGUGAGGUAUUAUGGAAAAAAAAGUACAUGGUUAUCAUUAUUGUUUUUUUUUCUCUGUCCAGUAAACCUGAGGUAAAGAAACUCUCUUUGAAGAAUGUGAUCAGAGGAGGAAAGAAAACCUGGAAAUGAAGAAGCACAAAAGAAAAGGAAUAAAACGAAACCAAACAAAACCCAACCCAGAAGACCAGGAGAGGAAAAGCGUUUCCAGUACAAAGAACUCAUUUCUCAACCAUCUACUUCGGGACUUGAAAUUUAAGCAGUAAAAUAAUAUAUUAUAACAGUGUUUCUAAGAUAGCAGCACACCGUGAAACAUUACAGCUAGGCACUGUUAAUGUGAAUGGGGAUGAACGAUCUUAGCUUCUUAGCAGCGAAAAAUAAUAAUAAACAGAACAAAAAGAAAACGAAAGGUAAGAGACCCUUAGAUAGUUCUCCAUCUUUAACCCUCAUACUGUGAAACAAGGCAGAACCUGUGUACGACAAUUCUUCAAAGCAGCCCUGUUCUGAUCUUUUCUCUUAAAAAAAAAAGGCAGAUAUUUUAACAAGUAGCUUCAUUACCUGUCAAUUAUAAUUGUGCAAAAAAAAAAAACAACAACAAACAAAAACAAAAACAAAAAACAGAAAAAA